AUUAACGCUGGCGGCGUGUCUAAUACAUGCAAGUCGAACGCCCCGCAAGGGGAGUGGCAAACGGGUGAGUAACACGUUGGAACUUACCCUAAAGUGAGGGAUAACCCGCCGAAAGGCGGGCUAAUACCGCAUAUGCCCGCAAGGGUAAAGCAGCAAUGCGCUUUAGGAGAGUCCUGCGUCCUAUCAGCUUGUUGGUGAGGUAAUGGCUCACCAAGGCAAUGACGGGUAGCUGGUCUGAGAGGAUGAUCAGCCACAAUGGGACUGAGACACGGCCCAUACUCCUACGGGAGGCAGCAGUAAGGAAUCUUUCACAAUGGCCGAAAGGCUGAUGAAGCAACGUCGCGUGACCGAAGAAGAUCGAAAGAUCGUAAAGGUCUUUUCUGGGGGAAUAAUUCUGAAGGUACCCCAGGAAUAAGCACCGGCUAACUCCGU
rnacentral:rRNA from 1 species